rnacentral:rRNA from 1 species
AACGAACGCUGGCGGCAUGCCUAACACAUGCAAGUCGAACGAGACCUUCGGGUCUAUUGGCGCAUGGGUUCGUAACGCGUGGGAACCUUCCCUUAGGUUCGGAAUACCUCCCCGAAAGGGGUGCUAAUACCGGAUAAUGUCUUCGGACCAAAGAUUUAUCGCCUAUGGAUGGGCCCGCGUUGGAUUAGCUCGUUGGUAGAGUAAAAGCCUACCCAGGCGGCGAUCCAUAACUGGUCUGAGAGGAUGGUCAGCAACACUGGGACUGACACACGGCCCGAAUUUCCAGCGGAGGGAGAAGGGGGGAAGAAGGAACGACGGGUGAGAGACGAAGGCAUCAAGGCCGUGUGAGUGAGGAAGGAGGGAGGGUUGUAAAGGUCUGUAACCCGGGAUGAUAAGGAGAGAACCAAGAGAAUAAGCACGGGCUAACUCGGU